CCUACGGGAGGCUGCAGUGAGGAAUAUUGGUCAAUGGACGAGAGUCUGAACCAGCCAAGUAGCGUGAAGGAUGACUGCCCUAUGGGUUGUAAACUUCUUUUAUAUGGGAAUAAAAUGUUCCACGUGUGGCCUUUUGUAUGUACCUUAUGAAUAAGGAUCGGCUAACUCCGUGCCAGCAUCCGCGGUAAUACGGAGGAUCCGAGCGUUAUCCGGAUUUAUUGGGUUUACAGGGAGCGUAGGUGGGUUGUUAAGUCAGUUGUGAAAGUUUGCGGCUCAACCGUAAAAUUGCAGUUGAUACUGGCAGUCUUGAGUACAGUAGAGGUGGGCGGAAUUCGUGGGGUAGCGGUGAAAUGCUUAGAUAUCACGAAGAACUCCGAUUGCGAAGGCAGCUCACUGGACUGCAACUGACACUGAGGCUCGAAAGUGUGGGUAUCAAACAGGAUUAGAUACCCGUGUAGUC
rnacentral:rRNA from 1 species